CAAACGACUCUCGGCAACGGAUAUCUCGGCUCUCACAUCGAUGAAGAACGUAGCGAAAUGCAAUACUUGGUGUGAAUUGCAGAAUCCCGUGAACCAUCGAGUCUUUGAACGCAAGUUGCGCCCGAAGCCAUUAGGCCGAGGGCACGUCUGCCUGGGCGUCACGC
rnacentral:rRNA from 1 species